UGGAGCUCUGAUUCAUAUGAGUUCUAAAGUCAUUCCAAAGCAUAAACCAGCAAACAGUGCAGAGAAAGCAACAAGUAAAAGCUGAAGUUGAUACUAAUUAGCUUAGCACAUGUCGAUCACUACCAUGUUCUGAUCAUCGAUCUCUUAGGAAUUGAAAGGGAGAGCUAUCAAGCAUAAGGAUGGAAUUAGAGCUUACUAUAUGCCUUGCCACCAACAGAAAAACCAGGAAUGAGAGUCCCAUCACUACCGUUUGCCAAGCCCACUGCUCAAAACAAGAAGAGAGAUAAAGAUCAGCUGACUGCAUCACUGGAAUGAUCCCCAUCUUGGUGGUGAAGUGAACUAUGCCAAGCAGUCCUUUAAGCUGCUGAAGUGAUACGAUGAUCGCUGCACCUCCCAUGAAUCCGGUCAACGUCGGUUUUGAUAGAAAGUCCACUAUGAAACCCAACCUAUAAGCACCGGGCAUCACUUGUGAGAUCAAGAUUUACUCGAAACAAAAUUCUAUAUAGUGUUCUUGUGGCGCGAGCAUUGUAUACCUCAGAAGACCCAAGCUGGCUUCGAAAACACCAGCAAAGAAAGUAGCUGUGAAAGCUAGUUGAAGAUACAAGAUAGGCUCUUUGUCAGGAGAGACCACCUCUCUCAGCAUGGAUCCCAUCACUAGAGAUGCAAUGGAUACCGGGCCAACAGCGAGAUCUCUUGAGCUCCCAAGAACAGAAUAGAUCAAGGGUGGCACAAAGCUGGAAUCUGUUGCAUCCGAUCCAGUAUAACAAGAUCAAUAACAUUCAUUGGUGUUCAUCCUGGUGUUCUUAUGAGCUAGUUUCAGUAGAUGGUUUGGACUUACAGAGGCCAAUAAUGGGAGGCAAACCUGCAAGCUUAGCGUAGCUUAUUCCCUGUUACAGAGAACAGAGAGGACAGUAAGUCUUUCUACACAGGCACAGGUAAUUUAGCAACGGUAAAGCUUCUCAUACUUGUGGGAUGGCCAAGCUAGCAAUGGUGACGCCUGAGAUGGCAUCAGACUUGAGGAGGCGAAGGCUGUAUUCAGAGCCCCACUGGAAGAUUGGGAAGAGAUACUGGAGAGCCAAGACCAGCUUCCGGAACAAAGACUUGUUCUUGAACUGGUGGAGGGGAUCAUCAGGGAAGAAGACCUCGGAAAGCCUCUGCUUGAGAGAUUGGAGGCUGGGGUUGUCUUGUGGUGCAGGGACCUUGUGGACCUCCAAAGGUUUCAAGCUCGGCGUGGGGAUGGGCAAGGAUGCUUCAAGUUCACUGGCAUAUGGGAAGCUCUCCACUCUGUUGGAGCUUCCCACCAUGUUUGAAGGGAAGAAGGAGAGCAAAUCAAGGACCAACACGGGAAUGCGACAAGGCACAUGAGCUUGGAGAAACAAGCAUGACAAAGGAGCUACUUAUAGAGUGGUGGAAGAACAAUGUGAUGAACCACCCUAUUUUCCCUUCAAUGAAUGAAGUCCUCAUGAUUUGCCAA